AAUAAACUUGCAGAUUGUGUUCGUCGCCUUCACUCCAUCGCUCGUGUUUGGAAGCCUCACGAGUAGUGUCAAUUUCCAAGACAUCAUCUCGUGGCGGUUUAUGCCAGUGGCCUGUGAACAUUGGACUAACGUUCGUGUUUGGGGCGAGUUUGGGAUGGAUUGUGGUGAAACUACUUAAACCACAGCCAUAUAUAGCAAAUCUAAUCCUAGCCGUUUGUUCAGCUGGAAAUUUGGGCAACAUUUUGUUGAUCAUAAUCCCUGCUAUCUGCAAGCAGAAGGGCAGCCCUUUCGGAGAUGCAAACGAUUUGCCUGAUUCAGUUCCUAUUUUUCAAGAUGUUAGAUGGCCUGAUUUUGUUAAAACAUGAUUGGAGUUGCUGAGUUCUGCAAUAUCACGCAAAAUAGAGAAAUGAAGGUGUACACAAAUCCAAAAUAAAAUUGGAGUAAAAUGGAAGAGAAAGGAUGACGAUAAGUUUGAGGAGGCUCCACCGUCGAUACUGCCUAAAUUUUGAGAAUGAGAAAUUUCUUAUGUAUAUGUUGACUAAGUGGGGUUAAUUGUAUAAGUAUUUCCUUUUUUUGUUGAGUCUGCAUAAUCUUUUGUUAAUUUCAUUUAUGCAGAAUAUUGUAAAUGGCCAUUUAAUAAAGAUAUAAAUUUUGGGCCUACGAGGUUAUUA